AUUGAACGCUGGCGGCAGGCCUAACACAUGCAAGUCGAGCGAGCGGCGGACGGGUGAGUAAUGUAUGGGGAACUGCCUGAUGGAGGGGGAUAACUACUGGAAACGGUGGCUAAUAACGCAUACUAUCGGAUGAACCCAUAUGGGAUUAGCUAGUAGGUGGGGUAAAGGCUCACCUAGGCGACGAUCCCUAGCUGGUCUGAGAGGAUGACCAGCCACCCUGGAACUGCGACACGGCCCAGACUCCUACGGGAGGCAGCAGUGGGGAAUAUUGCACAAUGGGCGCAAGCCUGAUGCAGCCAUGCCGCGUGUGUGAAGAAGGCCUUCGGGUUGUAAAGUACUUUCAGCGGGGAGGCGUUACCCGCAGAAGAAGCACCGGCUAACUCCGUGCCAGCAGCCGCGGUAAUUC
rnacentral:rRNA from 1 species